rnacentral:rRNA from 1 species
UACGGGGGGGGGCAAGCGUUGUUCGGAAUUACUGGGCGUAAAGGGCUCGUAGGCGGCCAACUAAGUCAGACGUGAAAAUCCCUCGGCUUAACCGGGGAACUGCGUCUGAUACUGGAUGGCUAGAGGUUGGGAGAGGGAUGCGGAAUUCCAGGUGUAGCGGUGAAAUGCGUAGAUAUCUGGAGGAACACCGGUGGCGAAGGCGGCAUCCUGGACCAAUUCUGACGCUGAUGAGCGAAAGCCAGGGGAGCAAACGGG